GAUGAAGAACGUAGCGAAAUGCGAUAAGUAAUGUGAAUUGCAGAAUUCAGUGAAUCAUCGAAUCUUUGAACGCACCUUGCGCCCUUUGGCCAUUCCGAAGGGCAUGCCUGUUUGAGUAUCAUGAACACCUCAACUCUCAUGGCUUGCCAUGAUGAGCUUGGACUUUGGGGGUCUUGCUGGCCUGUGGUCGGCUCCUCUCAAAUGAAUCAGCUUGCCAGUGUUUGGUGGCAUCACAAGUGUGAUAACUAUCUGCGCUCGUGGUUUCCAUCAGAUAACCUCCAGUGAUGGAGGUUCGCUGGAGCUCAUAAAUGUCUCUCCUAAGCGAGGACAGCUCUUUUAAUGUUUGAUCUCAAAUCAGGUAGGACUACCCGCUGAACUUAAGCAUAUCAAUAAGCGAGGA
rnacentral:misc_RNA from 1 species